GGUCCCGUCGUCUAGUGGCCUAGGACAUCUGGUUUUCAGCCAGAGAAUCUGGGGUUCGAAUCCCCACGGGAUCACCA
rnacentral:tRNA from 1 species